rnacentral:rRNA from 1 species
UGGGGAAUAUUGCGCAAUGGGGGAAACCCUGACGCAGCAACGCCGCGUGGAGGAAGAAGGUCUUCGGAUUGUAAACUCCUGUCUUCUGGGACGAAUAAUGACGGUACCAGAGGAGGAAGCCACGGCUAACUACGUGCCAGCAGCCGCGGUAAUACGUAGGUGGCAAGCGUUGUCCGGAAUUAUUGGGCGUAAAGGGCGCGUAGGCGGCAACCUAAGUCAGAUGUGAAACCCCGGGGCUUAACUCCGGACGUGCAUUUGAAACUGGGUAGCUAGAGUGCAGGAGAGGAAAGCGGAAUUCCUAGUGUAGCGGUGAAAUGCGUAGAUAUUAGGAGGAACACCAGUGGCGAAGGCGGCUUUCUGGACUGUAACUGACGCUGAGGCGCGAAAAGCGUGGGGAGCAAAACAGGAUUAGAUACCCUGGUAGUCCACGCUGUAAAACGAUGGAUACUAGGUGUGGGAGGUAUCGACCCCUUCCGUGCCGCAGUAAACGCAAU